rnacentral:rRNA from 1 species
CGGCGGACGGGUGAGUAAUGCCUAGGAAUCUGCCUGGUAGUGGGGGACAACGUUUCGAAAGGAACGCUAAUACCGCAUACGUCCUACGGGAGAAAGCCAGGGGGACCUUCGGGGCCCUUGCGCUAUUUCAGAUAGAGCCCUAGGGUCGGGAUUAAGGCUAGUUGGUGAGGUAAUGGGCUUCCACCAAGGCGGAACGAUCCGUAAACUGGUCUGAGGAGGAUGAUCAGGUCACACUGGAACUGGAGACACCGGUCCAGGACUCCUACCGGGAGGCCAGCAGUGGGGAAUAUUGGACAAUGGGCGAAAGCCUGAUCCAGCCAUGCCGCGUGUGUGAAGAAGGUCCUUCGGAUUGUAAAAGCACUUUAAGUUGGGAGGAAGGGCAUUAACCUAAUACGUUAGUGUUUUGACGUUACCGACAGAAUAAGCACCGGCUAACUUCGUGCCAGCAGCCGCGGUAAUACGAAGGGUGCAAGCGUUAAUCGGAAUUACUGGGCGUAAAGCGCGCGUAGGUGGUUUGUUAAGUUGAAUGUGAAAGCCCCGGGCUCAACCUGGGAACUGCAUCCAAAACUGGCAAGCUAGAGUAUGGCAGAGGGUGGUGGAAUUUCCUGUGUAGCGGUGAAAUGCGUAGAUAUAGGAAGGAACACCAGUGGCGAAGGCGACCACCUGGGCUAAUACUGACACUGAGGUGCGAAAAGCGUGGGGGAGCAAACGGGAUUAGAUACCCUGGGUAGUCCACGCCGUAAAACGAUGUCCACUAGUCCUUUGGGAUCCUUGAGAAUCUUACUGGGCGCAACCUAACGCAUUAAAGUCCCACCGGCCUGGGGGAGUACGGGCCGCCAGGGUUUAAAACUCAAAUUGAAUUGGACGGGGGGCCCCGCCCCAAGCGAGUGGGAGUCAUGUUGGUUUUAAUUUCAAAAGCCAACGGAGAAAGAAACCUUUACCCAGGGCCUUGGACAUGGCAAUAGAAACUUUUCCAGAAGAUGGGAUUGGGUGCCCUUCCGGGAAACUCCUGACACAGGGUGGCUGGCAUGGGCUGGUCCUUCAGCCUCCGUGGUCGGUGAGAAUGUUUGGGGUUAAAGUUCCCCGUUAACGAAGCCGCAAACCCCUUUGGUCCUUUAGUUUACCCAACCACGGUUUAAAGGGUGGGGGCAACUCCUAAAGGGAAUAACUGGCCCGGGUUGAACAAAACCCGGGAAAGGAAAAGGUGGGGGGGAAGUGAACCUUUCAAGGUGCCUCCGGCUUGGGCUACACACGUGCUACAAUGGUCGGUACAAAGGGUUGCCAAGCCGCGAGGUGGAGCUAAUCCCAUAAAACCGAUCGUAGUCCGGAUCGCAGUCUGCAACUCGAAUGCGUGAAGUCGGAAUCGCUAGUAAUCGUGAAUCAGAAUGUCACGGUGAAUACGUUCCCGGGCCUUGUACACACCGCCCGUCACACCAUGGGAGUGGG